GUAGAUGUGGCAGACUCAGGCUUAAUGCAAAAGGCCUAAGCCCUUUCAAUAAAGGUUCAAAUCCUUUCAUCAACU
rnacentral:tRNA from 1 species